rnacentral:rRNA from 1 species
GACGAACGCUGGCGGCGUGCCUAAUACAUGCAAGUAGAACGCUGAAGGAAGGAGCUUGCUCUUUCCGGAUGAGUUGCGAACGGGUGAGUAACGCGUAGGUAACCUGCCUGGUAGCGGGGGAUAACUAUUGGAAACGAUAGCUAAUACCGCAUAAGAGUAGAUGUCGCAUGACAUUUGCUUAAAAGGUGCAAUUGCAUCACUACCAGAUGGACCUGCGUUGUAUUAGCUAGUUGGUGGGGUAACGGCUCACCAAGGCGACGAUACAUAGCCGACCUGAGAGGGUGAUCGGCCACACUGGGACUGAGACACGGCCCAGACUCCUACGGGAGGCAGCAGUAGGGAAUUUUGGCA